CCAGAGGCUGCCUUGGAUCACAGGGUCCUGACUCCACCCCCGGCAGGAAGUGGCGCCUAGGCAACUACAUUUGGAACACACCCCCUCAGCGAUUCUGGUGCAGGAACUGAGGGACCUCAGUUUGAGAAAAAAAGAAAAAAAACUGAAAAUUUGUAACAGAAUCCCAGCGGAAGGGCUGGGGCAGAUUUUAUUUAAGUAGGGAUUUUAAGAAGGCUAGUUGUUUGCUAUCCUGAGGGUAAUGAAACGACUGGAGUAGGAUAGCAGAGGGCCUGGGCAGGCGCACUAGGAUGUGUCCUCCGGAGACGGCUCGGCUCAGGGAUCCAGGAGCGCUGGCCCUGGACUUCGUUCCCGCCGCCCGGCCGGCCGCACUUCCCGCCCUCGCCUAGAUCCCGGCCACCGCAGCCUGAGCCCUCGUCGCCGCACUCCUCUCGCGCUCCGCCCGCGCCCCGCUCCCUCCGGUCCCCGUUCUUCGCCCAGCCCGCCGCUCUCGCUUCCCUCGCCGCCGCCGCCGCCGCCGCCGCGUCCCGGACUCGGUAGGCUCCGAGCCCUGCGGUCGAGCCUGCCCCCUGGCCCCUAAGAGCCCGCGCUCCCGGCUGACGCGGAGGCGCCGAGGUCCCUGCCGCCACCACGGCCAACACGGGUGCCACGCGCCGCCGCCGCC
rnacentral:lncRNA from 1 species